UACGUAGGGUGCGAGCGUUAAUCGGAAUUACUGGGCGUAAAGCGUGCGCAGGCGGUCUGUUAAGACCGAUGUGAAAUCCCCGGGCUUAACCUGGGAACUGCAUUGGUGACUGGCAGGCUUUGAGUGUGGCAGAGGGAGGUAGAAUUCCACGUGUAGCAGUGAAAUGCGUAGAGAUGUGGAGGAAUACCGAUGGCGAAGGCCAGCCCCCUGGGAUAACACUCGACGCUCGAUGCACGAAAGCGUGGGGAGCAA
rnacentral:rRNA from 1 species